rnacentral:lncRNA from 1 species
CACAGAUUUCACAUGUCAGCCUUAGCCUGCCUAAUCUCAGAGUUAUCCCAUAGCAAGUGACUGCUGAGAAGGUUCAGCAUCAUGCAAGGGCAGUGGAUAGCACAGCCUGAAGCAUGUGCUGCUACACUAAGUGUUUUGCUUAUCUGAGUUACACUGCCUGGAUCCAAAGUUGAAAGGCCUUAUGCAUAUGGUAAACUGUGGAGACAGACUAGGAAUAAGCAUGGUCUUCUAUAAGAUCUGAGUUGUAUUCAUGUAUGUGGCCCUUCAUAGUAUUUACUGGUAAUUACUUUUCAAUUUUUUCUUUGAAAUGUUUCUUUUUUUUUUUAACAUAAGGGAAAAAAAAAAAAAAACAUGCUAUCUUUACAGUAGUACCAUGGCCUUGUUUUCUAAAAUAGUUGAAAAAAUGGAAUUUGUUUAGUAUUUAACCAGGCCAUUUAGGCUUUCGCAGUGUUUAGUAAAUAUCUAUUUUUUUUUUAGCUUAGCUCCUGCCAUUGUGGUAUUUGCUUGGACCCUAUCAGCAUUAAUUACUCUUAAUGGCCUUAGCCAGCCCCACCUGGUCUUCCAACCACACCCAUGGGCCCAGGAGUCAAUUUAAGCACUGCAGGAGGUCCUUAUCUCCUUUCUUGAGCUGUGUUACAGCCUGCUAGACUGCAGUUUGGUUAAGGACCUGCUGAUUCUAUCCCACAGACUGAUUUCUCAACUUGAUCUCAUCAUGAUAUUGCCUUGUCACCUGGUCUACCAUCUUCAGGACUGCCUGCUUGCAUUGCUCAGGUGUUUCCAUGGCUGUAUGUGCAGUCACAGUAAAUCCAUGAACCACAGCCCCAUCAGGUUUCCCUCCAGUUCUGUUUUUUAUACUUGCUAUACUUGGAUUCAAGCAGGACUAGGCUAGUCAAGAAAGCUCUUACUGAUACUGUAAGGCCCUGACCCAAAAGCCUCUCUGAAAUGGAUCAGGACUUCCAAUUUUUACUCACUAAAGAGACUUCCUUUUUUUAGUUACUAAAAGAGUUUUUUCCUGAUCAAAAGAACAUAAACUCUUAUUUUGGCAGGUGCAAAAGCUUUCUCAGCCUUCAGGCUUUCCUAGUAUCGAGUCCAAUUGCAUUAGUUAAAUUAGGGUUGUUAACAGAAAAGAAGUAACAUAUUUUAAAGUAGUACAAAGUAGGGCAAAACAAUAAAUUGUUUCUGUACAUAAACUAAUAUUUAAGG